rnacentral:lncRNA from 1 species
UCCACAAGACAGAGGUCUGCCACCUUGUUUUCUGCCUUUGCCCUGCUUUGCUAGUUGUGUACUGGAUCAUUCUGCUCUUCAACCCUAGAGCUCACCACUUGUCCCUAGUAUCCUGGUAGUUCGGACAGUGGUGUAUUAACUUGUCUUUGGUUGGCAUUUGACUUGUGAAUGAAGAUUCUGAUUACUAUAUGUGUUUGACUAGGGGACAAUCAAAAGAUCAGAACCACUACAACAAAGGCUGAUGUGUGCAUGUUAAGGAUGUUUUAUGUUAUGUAAUUUGCGGAGAUGGCUUAGCCUCUAGGGCUGUCAUUUGUAUAUAAUACUAGGACUUAAAGUAUUCAGGACGGGGAGUCAGGAAGGGAAGGUGGAAGGACAUGGAAACCUUGAACAAGAGUUGGAAUUCAAGAAGAUGGCCUGGAACCCGUGCAGUGUCUCACCGCCUCCAGCUUCAAUGAUGUUUGUAUCCUGCAGAAGAAGCUAGUGUCCUUAGGAGCAUCUGGCCUAGGACUAGAGAAGCUAAAGGAAGACCCAGGGAAAUUGUAGCCGCUGAAGGCCUGGCUGUAGGACUUGCUGUUUCCCCGUACCAAGGCUACAUAAACUGUUAGCAGUAAAUGAAAAUGAGUAUUUUACUGAGCUGCAGUUGAAAGAAGAAAUAUUGUAGGAGAGAAAAGCAAUUAUUAUUAAGAGAAGAAAGACAUUCUUUUGUGGCUGAAAAGCUGAACCUGGAAUUCAGGAAAUGGAAUCUAAAUCUAGAGAUGUACCAUGUAGAAAAUCUGAAGUGGGUGGGUUACAAAUAAUUAAGCACACUAAUUUGAAGAAAACCAUCCUUAAACAUGUGUACACAUGGAUUGCACUUAGUAUCUGUCAGUGACUGGCCUUAUUACUGUCCUCCCCCUUCCUCUUCUUGUUCCCCCAUCCCUCUUAACAGGGGCACCACAGUAGCAGUCAGUUUGCUCUUAAGCAGUGUAACUCCGUUUUAUGGUUACUAGGAGCUACAACUCUGGUUUCCAUGUAUGCUGAAGACCGUCUAGUUUCCUGGACUGCAUUGCCAGUUUUGCCUGGGAUCCCGAUUCUCAAGAAUUGAGUAUCUGAACUUCUGAUCCGAAGCUCAUUCCUCCAGUCAGACAACUGCCCUGCUAGUAUUUCUGAUCUGCCCUCUUCCUGUGUUAGCCCAAAGUGUGGGCCCCAUUUUCUGUUCAGUGCAGUAGGAAGAUUUUGUUCACAGAUCUUACUGGUUGUGUAGCUCGACAAGGCACUUUGGCUUCCUGAGCCUUAGUUGACUUCACUGCAAACUAAAGCCAAUACCCUCAGUUCCUUCAACCCUGUAAGAAUUUUGUCAACCUCAAAGGUUGUUUCUGGAAAUACUUUGCAAAUUGUAAAAAAAAAAAAAAAAAAAAAAAAAAGAGAGAGAA